UACGAAGGGGGCUAGCGUUGCUCGGAAUUACUGGGCGUAAAGCGCACGUAGGCGGCUUUGUAAGUUAGAGGUGAAAGCCUGGAGCUCAACUCCAGAACUGCCUUUAAGACUGCAUCGCUUGAAUCCAGGAGAGGUGAGUGGAAUUCCGAGUGUAGAGGUGAAAUUCGUAGAUAUUCGGAAGAACACCAGUGGCGAAGGCGGCUCACUGGACUGGUAUUGACACUGAGGUGCGAAAGCGUGGGGAGCAAACAGG
rnacentral:rRNA from 1 species